CCCCAAGCAGAUAUUUACCCAUAAAGCUUCCACAUUAUCCUCCUCGCAUUCCAUUUGCUUAACAUUUGGCUUUAAAUCAUGUUUGACAUACAAACAUACCCCACCACCCUUCUUGUUUUUCCUAUCCUUCCUAAAUAACAUGUACCCAUUUAAGUUAGCUGCCCAGUCAUGUGUCUCAUCCCACCAUGUUUCAGUUAUGCCUAUUAUAUCAUAUUCUUUAGUGUAUGCUAAUGCCUCUAGUUCCCCCAUUUUGUUAUUUAGGCUCCUUGCAUUAGUAAGCAUACACUUAAUAUUAUGCGUCACUUGUAUAUUUUGUGAAUUUUCAACAUUACACAGCUUCUCUGUUCUGAG
rnacentral:lncRNA from 1 species